rnacentral:lncRNA from 1 species
UCUCUCAUCUGAACAAAUUUGGAUAAUCUAUAAAUUGGAUCUUGUAGAGGAAAUAGCAGAAUACAAUUACCAAUAAUCAUAACAUUUAAACAACAUCAGAUCCGGGAGAAAUCAGCCAUCAAAGUAGCAUCCAAAGCUGUUCUUCACGAAGAACAGUUUGAGGUGCCUACUUUGGACCUCUAUAACUUGAUGAUCGUGAAAUUUUUACGUGAUCUAUCAAUUCAAGUGUGUAGAAAACAUGUAGGACUACAAUGCUAACACUUAACAUCAUCAUAACAACAAGAAAUCAAGCAGAUAAAGUAUGGUCAAACCUUGUCAGAAAAAUCAACACUUAGAAAAUUCUGGGCUGCCCAGAAUUUUCCGGUCAAUGCCGGUCAACCCACUUUGACCUUAAAUAACUCUUAAUCCAUAAUAUAUAUGGACCUGAUUCUUUUUGGAGGUUAAAUACCACAUAACAAGCUACACAUAUCAACCUUUAUAACACAAAACACAUUAAAGAUGACCGAGAUAUAAGGCCUGACAUUUGCCAAAAAAAAAUUUCUGGACACUUAGAAUAUUUUCUGGGUUUGAAAAACAGCCGGUCAAUGCCGGUCAACCCACUUUGACCGCUUAUAAAUCCCGAUCUACAAUAGAUAUAGACCUGAUUCCUUUUGGAGUUUAAAGACCACAUAACAAGCUACACCUAACAACUUUUAAACAACAAAAACAGUAAAUAAUCACAGAGAUAUAAGUCUUGACAUUUGCCCAAAAAUCACAGAAUUCGGUUUUUCCAACUUGCUCAAAUCUUCAAAUUCGUGCACUUUGAUGUUAUGGGUUCAUGAUUUUACAACCCAGAACAUUAAUAGACUCCCUAUUACACUACUUUAAACAAUCAAUUGCAUCAAUUAACAUCGAAUCGAAGGAUUUCAAAAUUAGGGAAUUUCAUACCUUUUCUAGCUUCGAUUUUUGAUUUUUUUCUGGCUUUAAUGCUUCUGAUUUGUUGUUUAUGAUGGCUGGGCUUUGAUUAGGAGCUUAUGGGCAAGAUAAUUUCGUUGGUAAGAGCUUGAGAGAGUAAAGCUAGGUGUUUGCUAUAAUUUUAGUGUACAAAUGAGUUUAAUCUCUUCCUAAUUUAUAGAAUUGAUUGAAUCAAUCAAUGUAAGGGCUGAUAAUUGAUGGUGUAAUGACAUAGAAGCAUAAGUAAAUUCUAGAAUAUGGUAGGUGGCUAGAUUUUGUGAACAAGUGGUAGCAAUAAGACAUAAAUAAUGCAUUUUCCCUUUUCUUUAAUUAAUUAUUUUUUUAAAUACAUUGGAUGCUAAAGUGGGAUGAUUCCCUUGUUUGAUAGUUGAUAGCAUGUAGGGUAAGCAUGUUGGGCAUCCUUGUUGCAAGAUCCCAUCAACAAUGUAAGUAAUAAUACACUAAAAUGACAAAAAGGGUAUUUUGGU